GCUGACCUACGGGAGGCAGCAGUAGGGAAUCUUCCACAAUGGACGAAAGUCUGAUGGAGCAACGCCGCGUGUGUGAAGAAGGGUUUCGGCUCGUAAAGCUCUGUUGGUAGUGAAGAAAGAUAGAGGUAGUAACUGGCCUUUAUUUUACGGUAAUUGCUUAGAAAGUCACGGCUAACUACGUGCCAGCAGCCGCGGUAAUACGUAGGUGGCAAGCGUUGUCCGGAUUUAUUGGGCGUAAAGC
rnacentral:rRNA from 1 species